CUUCUCCACUUCCUUGCCUCUGAUCCCUCCCUCCCCCUCCCAACUCCCUCCAGCCUCCCUACCUCCGCCGAGGCACUCUCGACGACGAUAACAGCAACUACGAUAGUGACGGGCGUGGAUCCGGCGGCUGGGCAAAUCUUGCACGAAGCUCUGGUACAACUAUGGACGGGCGGUAGGGCUCGGGAGAUGGCAAGGUGGGGGUGGGGGUGUUGAGAAGGUGCUUGAGGACUCCACAUCCAGCUCCGCUCCCGUCCUCCCUCUCUUCCCCUUCUGUUGGCAUUUGAUGAUGGAUUUUUUUUUGUGCCCAUAUCUGUCUCAUCUCUUUAUGUGAUGAAUUCAUUAUUUGUGAAUAGAUUAUGAGAGGUUUAUGAAUG
rnacentral:sRNA from 1 species